AACUUUCAGCAACGGAUCUCUAGGCUCUCGCAACGAUGAAGAACGCAGCGAAAUGCGAUAAGUAAUGUGAAUUGCAAAAUUCCGUGAAUCAUUAAAUCUUUGAACGCACUUUGCGCUCUUUGGCAAUCCAGAGAGCAUGUCUGUUUGAGAAUCAGUUUAAAUCUCAUUCCCUUUAAUUGGAAACAGUUAAUAGGAGUGGUUGUGGGUUCUUCGCUUACCACGAAGUUCCUGAAUUAAAAGUUGCCUGGUGUACUAUUGAAAACGUAACCGGAAAGCAUGACCAAUGGAGAGGUUUAAUAGCCAUGUUCCUGAUUGCUGAUAAAGGCCGUUGGAAGUUUUAUACUCAUAGCAAAUUUAAAAACACGAAGGCUUCGGCCUUUAAGACUUGAUCUCAAAUCAGAUAAGACUACCCGCUGAACUUAAGCAUAUCAAUAAGCGGAGGCU
rnacentral:misc_RNA from 1 species